UUCUAUGGCACUGACAUUGUAGAUAUUGUGCUGUUGAACUUUGCCUAUGAAGUAUCUGCCUUUUGCACCAGUAUUGUAACUCAAGAUUCAAAGGGCAAUAUUUACCAUGGCAGAAACCUGGAUUAUCCCCACGGUGUGCUCAGAAAUCUUACUCUAGACGUACUUUUUAUUAAAAAUGGAAAGGUGGCAUACAGAGGAACAGUUUUGCUGGUUAUGUUGGGCUGUGGACAGGACAAAGCCCCAACAAGUUUACAGAGUCUGGCAACGAAUGCAAUAAGGGACAUUGGUGGGAGAAUGUAAUUUCAGCAGUUUUAUUAAAAAGUUCUCCAGUUAGCUGGUUAGUGCGAGAGACUCUUGAAGCAGCUGUGGACUUCCAGGAUGCAGUAGUGAGACUGGCCAAGGUGCCGAUCAUCACAGAUGUCUAUUACAUUUUGGGGGGUGUUCAUGCUGGUGAGGGUGUGGUCAUCACCAGAGACCGGAGCGGGUCAGCUGACAUCUGGCCUCUGGAUCCACUUAAUGGAAACUGGUAUAGAGUUGAAACCAAUUAUGACCACUGGCUUCCCGCCCCUAAACAGGAUGACCGAAG